UACGGGGGGGGCAAGCGUUGUUCGGAAUUACUGGGCGUAAAGGGCUCGUAGGUGGUCAACUAAGUCGGACGUGAAAUCCCUCGGCUUAACCGGGGAACUGCGUCCGAUACUGGAUGACUUGAGUUCGGGAGAGGGAUGCGGAAUUCCAGGUGUAGCGGUGAAAUGCGUAGAUAUCUGGAGGAACACCGGUGGCGAAGGCGGCACUCUGGGACGGUACUGACGCUGAGACGCGAAAGCGUGGGGAGCGAACAGG
rnacentral:rRNA from 1 species